GUGGCUGCGGGAUAACGGGACCGGGAGGCGGAUAACGGAGCCGGCUGGGCGGGGUGGGAGAGCAGAAAAGGGGCGAGGCCGCGGGUAACGGACUUCGGAGAGGACGAGCAGCUGGGGUCGGUCUGGAGAUCCGUGUGACCCCAGAGGGCCCUUCCCGGGACCCGGGGCCGGAGGUCGGACGGGGCGCAGGAAAUUCCCGGGGGUCCCGCCUCCCGCGGGGAGAGGAAUCAUCCUUUGAAAGAAUUGAAAAAGACACAAAAACCGCUGCUUCAGGCUCCAGGUCUACAAUCUGUCCACCUGCUCCACCCCAAAGAACUGGCAGACGCUCCUGCUAACCUGAGUCUGCUGCCGAGAGAUCAGUAGAAGAACAUCCCAUGGUCCUGGAAGGCAGGGGCCAGAACUUGAACAUGGUCUCUCGAGAAACAAGUCACCAAUUCAAUUCUCACUGGGGGAGAAGGAGAUGACACAAGAAUGCCAUGGGAGGGGAAUCACCUGGGAGAACAGAGGUGCGGUCGCUUACCACCAGCAAGCUGUGAUUU